rnacentral:rRNA from 1 species
ACGCUCGACACCUGGAGGCAGCAGUGGGGAAUAUUGCACAAUGGGGGGAACCCUGAUGCAGCGACGCCGCGUGAGGGAAGAAGGUUUUCGGAUUGUAAACCUCUGUCUUUGGUGACGAUAAUGACGGUAGCCAAAGAGGAAGCUACGGCUAACUACGUGCCGGUAGCCGCGGUAAUCUGAGCGGGCUGGCAAGGC